rnacentral:rRNA from 1 species
UACGUAGGGGGCAAGCGUUGUCCGGAUUAUUGGGCGUAAAGAGCGUGUAGGCGGCUAUACAGGUCCGCUGUGAAAACUCGAGGCUCAACCUCGAGACGUCGGUGGAAACCGUAUGGCUAGAGUCCGGAAGAGGAGAGUGGAAUUCCUGGUGUAGCGGUGAAAUGCGCAGAUAUCAGGAAGAACACCCGUGGCGAAGGCGGCUCUCUGGGACGGUACUGACGCUGAGACGCGAAAGCGUGGGGAGCGAACAGG